UUGUUUGGUAUUCCAAAUACUAGCCUAUUGUGCUCUGUGCUUACACCCAAACUAUGCUUGUCUAGACCCAUUUAAUUUAUUUCCAGCACUGACACAGAUUGCCUGGGUUUGAGUCUUCAAAACUGUUUUUUUUUUCAGGAUUUGAUUAAUCUUGUAAUAUUGCAUCAUUUUUUUUCAGCAGAUUCAGUGCCAUGUGGACCAUGCUGCCACAUACUUCUCCCAAGUGUGCUAGUGCCUGACAAUGAUGGAUUGUGUUAUGUUAUCUUGACAUGUUUUAGAGUCAUCUGAGAAGAAUGAACCUCAGUUAAGAACAUUACUCCAGGAAAUGGUUUCUCCCUUGAUUCCUGACUUGUAUUUGCUCAAUGAUGGAGAGUGCAAUUGUUGCCCUGCAUAAUAUG
ensembl:antisense Gm14707 predicted gene 14707